rnacentral:rRNA from 1 species
UUAGGAAUUUUGGGCAAUGGGCGAAAGCCUGACCCAGCAACGCCGCGUGGGUGAUGAAGGCCUUCGGGUCGUAAAGCCCUUUUUCAGGGGAAGAUGAUGACGGUACCCUGAGAAUAAGCCCCGGCUAACUACGUGCCAGCAGCCGCGGUAAUACGUAGGGGGCAAGCGUUGUCCGGAUUUAUUGGGCGUAAAGCGCGCGUAGGCGGCGCGGUAUGUCGUGCGUGAAAUCUCCCGGCUUAACUGGGAGGGGCCGUGCGAAACUGCCGGGCUUGAGGUCAGAAGGGGAAAGUGGAAUUCCGGGUGUAGUGGUGGAAUACGUAGAUAUCCGGAGGAACACCAGCGGCGAAGGCGGCUUUCUGGUCUGAUACUGACGCUGAGGCGCGAAAGCGUGGGGAGCGAUCCGGAUUAGAUACCCGGGUAGUCCACGCCGUAAACGAUGAGUACUAGGUGUCGGGGGUAUCGACCCCCUCGGUGCCGUCGCUAACGCAUUAAGUACUCCGCCUGGGGACUACGGCCGCAAGGCUAA